UCUGCAAUCACAGUUGCAUUUGAUUUAAUACCAGGCAGAGAACAACACUGUGGAGUUGAUGCAUUGGGAAUAUGGACAUUAGUAGGGAUGGUAUCACGGACCUUGGAGCAGAUACCGGGGGGAAGGGAACCCCUCUUCAGGAUGAAAGUAAAAGCUAAAAAAAAUAUAUUUAAAUCUGCUCACACUUUGGACCUGAGCUCUGCAAGAUGGCCUUAGAACCCUGAUCAAAGUGGCAGCUGAAUUAAGAAAAUCUAUGGAGAUUUCCUGGAUGCUGCUGGCUACCAGCUGAUCUGCUGGAGUUGACAUCACUGCCACCCCAUUAAAAAAAAUGGCUUGAGAAUGAAAAGCAGAUAUGACGAUACCACUGUGAAAAAUUCCAGACUG